UACGGGGGGGGCAAGCGUUGUUCGGAAUUACUGGGCGUAAAGGGUCCGUAGGUGGCCGGCUAAGUCAGACGUGAAAUCCCUCAGCUUAACUGGGGAACUGCGUCUGAGACUGGUCGGCUCGAGGGCAGGAGAGGAACGUGGAAUUCCAGGUGUAGCGGUGAAAUGCGUAGAUAUCUGGAGGAACACCGGUGGCGAAGGCGGCGUUCUGGACUGCAUCUGACACUGAAAGACGAAAGCCAGGGGAGCAAACGGC
rnacentral:rRNA from 1 species